GGGAAUAGAGUUGGGAUUUGGCAGGUGUGGGGGUGAGAGGCUGAGCUCUGGUAGAGCAGCCAAGAAGAGAAAUUAUUCACAGUAGCACAGAACAGAGAAGAAGCAUUAAACACACCUGGUACAUAUACAGGACGCUCGGUUAUUUCUAAAAGAAAUCCUCGCUGCCUUUUUUACUUCUGUGCACGUUGUGAAGUCGUUACCUCCUGGCAAGCUCACGCUCAGCUGCUGUGAUCAGCGCUGCAGUGCUGCAAGAUUACUGUAAUCACAGCAGUGAGCCGAGUCCGCGGGAAGAUGUGGGGCACAGGGACAAGGACCAGAACCAGAGCUUGAAACAGAGAAGACCAAAGCAGUUUUAAAGAUCUUGUUAUCCUUGGUAUCCUGAGGACAAAAAGAAAGCCAUCCAGCUUUGACAGGUUGACUGCUGGGGAGUCGGAAAUCCAGCAAGGCAGAUAUGGAGGAAGACUACAUAAAUGCAUCGGAUACAAGCAGGAACAUGCUGUGGAAAGUACUGAUAAGUAACAGCAUACCAGGCUGAUAUUUUUCUUUCCUCCAGCGAAUUUGUGAUGGGGAUGCCUACUGGUGAAUGGAGUUGCUAACUGGUUUUCUGAGGGCCUCCUUGGAAGCCAUGCAGUGUGCUUAGUCCUUCAUGUGGACCUCUCAGCGGAAGUCACGCGUGUAACUUGUCCCUUAUUUAUGCUGUGAUGAUGGCAUAACCCAAAUUCCCCAUUGAGUGGGUACUUCCUCUUCUCAAAUUUAUUAGGACAAUAUGGCUUCUCUGCUCCUGGGUUCUGUGGUAUAGGCUUUCUGGGUUUUCAGCCUGGUUCCACUUUAACUUCGUGAAAACAACCUCAAAGAUAAGAGCAACCAACUUUUAAAGAUGAGACAUUGCCUUUAAUAAGGCAAAAGAUCCCUCAGUGAUAUUUUCCUUUUGGGAGGCUUGUCACAUAGAUCACAAUCAAUUAGCCAUGAAAAGAAACAUUUCAAGCCCUUAAAUAACAGCAGUGUGACUUGAAGAGCAGAAGAGAUCAACACUGCUCUGUAUUUACUGACAUUGAACUUAUUCACAACUUUCUCUAGAGAUCAUAAAACAGAUGUUUAGACACAAGUGACAGACACAAUUAUUCUUUGAAAUUAACAACUGCAUAUUUUGCAGGGAUAGUUAAAAGCAGUAUGGGGUUUUUGUCCACUGUGUAUCUUAUUUCUGCAUGCACUUUAUUUCUGGCAUUUUAAUUCUUUCAGUGAGUGGCAAGGAGGCUGGCAGAAGACAGCAACCGCAUCAGGCUUUUGUCUUGGUGUCAUAAUCACAGAAUGGAUUAGGUUGGAAGAGACCUUAAAGAUAUUCUAGUUUCAACCCCACUCUGUGUGUUGGUUGUCCCAUACCAGAUCAGGCUGCUCAGGACUCCACUUAGCGUGGCCUUGAUUGCCUUCAGUGAUGGAGCAUCAACUUCUUGGGGCAGCCUGUGCUAGUGCCUCGCUGUCUUCUGAGUAAAGGAUUUCCUUCUAAGAUCUAACCUAAGUCUUCCCUCUUCUGGUUUAAAGCCAUUUUCCCUUGUCCUAUCACUAUUUGCCAUGUAAGAAGUUGGUCUCUUUCCUGUAUGUAAGCUUCCUUUAAAUAUGGAAAGGCCACAAUGAGGUCUCCUUGGAGCCUUCUCCAGUCUGAAAAGCUCCAGCUCUUUCAGCCUUUUCCAUUGGAGAGGUACUCUGAUUCUCUUUGUGUCCUCCUCUAGACCUACUCCAGCAGCUCUGAAAGAUUCAGUAGGAGUGAAAAAAAUAAUGGCUGUACCAUCCUAUCAGCCCUCUCUUCCUUAUGUUUCAAUUUCUGAAGAUUUGUGAUAUAUCCCUGAAGUAUUUACUCUUCAAGCCUCUUUGAGGCUGUUUUUUUCUUUCUUUAUUUCUUUUUUUUUUUUUUUUUCUAAAGACAGAAGUAAUUUCCACUUGUUUGCAUAUGAGGGCUUUCUGACUGAGCUGCUUGGCAGUCACCUGUUUCUAAUCCUCCUUGAUUUACACAUGCUUUUGGCAAUUUCCCAGCUUUACUCUACUGUAAAGAGUACGCUUAGCACAGGCUCUAGCUGUUUGUUUCUGAGAGGGAGGUCGGUGAUUACUUCUGCCUCGCAGCCACAACAAAAGCAAAAUGCUUUAUGAAAUGCUAAGUGAUGCUGUGUUCUCCAAGUAAAGCCUUGGUUUCUUGUAUCAGCAACAACUGAGAGCACUGGAAAGCAAGUCUAUUUUUGCAUUCCUACUCUUGUUAUGGAGCCUAACAAAGUCAUUCAAAUUUUUGUAUUUCUGUCUUCUGUUAAAGUUGGUUUUUGUUGUUUUUCUUCCAUCAAGAUGGAAAACCAUAUAUAGGCAAGCUUGGAAAGAGAGUACAAGAGACAGUAAAAGAAAACAGUGCUGUGUUCAUGUUAAAGAAUUGCUGUCUGUAUUAUCAAACACGCUCAAAAACUAUAUGCUUUCAGCGAGAACAGAAUGGAUUUCAAACAAAAAAGUAUGUAUUUCAGAGAGUAUGGAAAUUUUCCUGAUAAUACAUGCAUUUCCUCCAAAACAGCCUUUAUGCAGGCAGGUCAUGGAAAGAACCUGGUGGACCUGUGCUACCCAAAUUCCCCCAGUAGAGGGAGUUACUCAGGAGUCAAAAUAUCAGUGUAAGUCAGAAAGCACAUACAGUACAGGACAGACCAAAUGAACCCUGGAUAUCAUGCCAAGGAAGUCUCUGCAUUCAACUUCUGGAUAGUAUUUUCACUUCCAUUUCUUCGUUCUCUGACACUUUGAAAAUAGGUUCCUAUUUGAAAAUACUAGCCCUAUCACCUUUCCCUAACAAAAUAAAGAACUGCAACUUUAAUUUCUUGGAUCUUGCAAAUCUAAAAGAUACUUCCUGAAAGCAUGUGAAAUAUGAAUAUUUUCAAAAAAUAUAUUCUGUUCCUUCAUGAAAUACGUUCUCCUCUUGAAAGCCAUGUGAAGUUUAGAUAUGUUUGCAGAUAAAUCUCUUCAGGUGAUGCAUCCAGUAUGUGCAGUGAGCUGGUAUACUGGCAUAUGAUGAUGGCUCUUGAGAGAGGGUUUCCAGCAUUUUCCAAGGAGUAAAUGGAGGUGGAAAGAGAGUAGCAGGGUGUCACCUUCUGAAAGUUUGUACCCACACAUUUAAGU